rnacentral:rRNA from 1 species
CUCCAGUUGAUCGCAUGGUCUUCUGGGAAAGCUUUCGCGGUAUGGGAUGGGGUCGCGUCCUAUCAGCUUGACGGCGGGGUAACGGCCCACCGUGGCCUCGACGGGUAGCCGGCCUGAGAGGGCGACCGGCCACAUUGGGACUGAGAUACGGCCCAGACUCCUACGGGAGGCAGCAGUGGGGAAUAUUGCACAAUGGGCGCAAGCCUGAUGCAGCGACGCCGCGUGAGGGAUGGAGGCCUUCGGGUUGUAAACCUCUUUUAUCGGGGAGCAAGCGAGAGUGAGUUUACCCGUUGAAUAAGCACCGGCUAACUACGUGCCAGCAGCCGCGGUAAUACGUAGGGUGCAAGCGUUAUCCGGAAUUAUUGGGCGUAAAGGGCUCGUAGGCGGUUCGUCGCGUCCGGUGUGAAAGUCCAUCGCUUAACGGUGGAUCCGCGCCGGGUACGGGCGGG